GCUGGCGGCGCGCCUAACACAUGCAAGUCGGAACGAGCGAGAGAGAGCUUGCUUUCUCGAGCGAGUGGCGAACGGGUGAGUAACGCGUGAGGAACCUGCCUCAAAGAGGGGGACAACAGUUGGAAACGACUGCUAAUACCGCAUAAGCCCACAGCUCGGCAUCGAGCAGAGGGAAAAGGAGCAAUCCGCUUUGAGAUGGCCUCGCGUCCGAUUAGCUAGUUGGUGAGGUAUGGCCCACCAAGGCAACGAUCGGUAGCCGGACUGAGAGGUUGAACGGCCACAUUGGGACUGAGACACGGCCCAGACUCCUACGGGAGGCAGCAGUGGGGAAUAUUGCACAAUGGGGGAAACCCUGAUGCAGCGACGCCGCGUGGAGGAAGAAGGUCUUCGGAUUGUAAACUCCUGUUGUUGAGGAAGAUAAUGACGGUACUCAACAAGGAAGUGACGGCUAACCACGUGCCAGCAGCCGCGGUAAAACGUAGGGUGCAAGCGUUGUCCGGAAUUACUGGGUGUAAAGGGAGCGCAGGCGGGAAGACAAGUUGGAAGUGAAAACCAUGGGCUCAACCCGUGAAUUGCUUUCAAAACUGUUUUUCUUGAGUAGUGCAGAGGUAGAUGGAAUUCCCGGUGUAGCGGUGGAAUGCGUAGAUAUCGGGAGGAACACCAGUGGCGAAGGCGGUCUACUGGGCACCAACUGACGCUGAGGCUCGAAAGCAUGGGUAGCAAACAGGAUUAGAUACCCUGGUAGUCCAUGCCGUAAACGAUGAUUACUAGGUGUUGGGGGAUUGACCCCCUCAGUGCCGCAGUUAACACAAUAAGUAAUCCACCUGGGGAGUACGACCGCAAGGUUGAAACUCAAAGGAAUUGACGGGGGCCCGCACAAGCAGUGGAGUAUGUGGUUUAAUUCGAAGCAACGCGAAGAACCUUACCAGGUCUUGACAUCCGAUGCAUAGCACAGAGAUGUGUGAAAUCCUUCGGGACAUCGAGGCAGGUGGUGCAUGGUUGUCGUCAGCUCGUGUCGUGAGAUGUUGGGUUAAGUCCCGCAACGAGCGCAACCCUUAUUGCCAGUUACUACGUUAAGAGGACUCUGGCGAGACUGCCGUUGACAAAACGGAGGAAGGUGGGGAUGACGUCAAAUCAUCAUGCCCUUUAUGACCUGGGCUACACACGUACUACAAUGGCGUUAAACAAAGAGAAGCAAGACCGCGAGGUGGAGCAAAACUCAAAAACAACGUCUCAGUUCAGAUUGCAGGCUGCAACUCGCCUGCAUGAAGUCGGAAUUGCUAGUAAUCGCGGAUCAGCAUGCCGCGGUGAAUACGUUCCCGGGCCUUGCACUCACCGCCCGUCA
rnacentral:rRNA from 1 species